rnacentral:rRNA from 1 species
GUAGUCCACGCUGUAAACGAUGGGUACUAGACUUUGAGGGAUUUGACCCCCUCAGAGUCGGAGCUAACGCGAUAAGUACCCCGCCUGGGAAGUACGGUCGCAAGACUAAAACUCAAAGGAAUUGACGGGGGCCCGCACAAGCGGUGGAUCAUGUGGUUUAAUUCGAAGCAACGCGAAGAACCUUACCUGGGUUUGACAUCUGUGGACGAUACUAGAGAUAGUAUUUUCGUAGCAAUACGACCGCAAGACAGGUGCUGCAUGGCUGUCGUCAGCUCGUGUGGUGACAUGUUGGGUUAAGUCCCGCAACGAGCGCAACCCUUGUCUUUAGUUGCCAGCAUUCAGUUGGGCACUCUAGAGAGACUGCCGUGGUUAACACGGA